UGGGGAAUCUUCCGCAAUGGACGAAAGUCUGACGGAGCAACGCCGCGUGUAUGAUGAAGGUCUUCGGAUUGUAAAGUACUGUCAUUGGGGAAGAACGGUUUUCUUGAAAAGAUUGAGAAGACAUGACGGUACCCAAGGAGGAAGCCCCGGCUAACUACGUGCCAGCAGCCGCGGUAAUACGUAGGGGGCAAGCGUUGUCCGGAAUUAUUGGGCGUAAAGGGCGCGUAGGCGGGCCUUUAAGUCCGGUGUGAAAGAUCAGGGCUCAACCCUGAGAGUGCAUCGGAAACUGGAGGCCUUGAGGACAGGAGAGGAAAGUGGAAUUCCACGUGUAGCGGUGAAAUGCGUAGAUAUGUGGAGGAACACCAGUGGCGAAGGCGACUUUCUGGACUGUAACUGACGCUGAGGCGCGAAAGCGUGGGGAGCAAACAGGAUUAGAUACCCUGGUAGUCCACGCCGUAAACGAUGAGUGCUAGGUGUAGAGGGUAUCGACCCCCUUCUGU
rnacentral:rRNA from 1 species